UCCAUAAUUAGUCACUAUACUGACUGAGCUUCCCAGCUCUCAACAAUAAGGUUAUUCAUAACCUAAUUUCACUAAUUUAUAAUAAAUUGUCUUACAGAUACUUACACACAGAGACAACUUCUUGCAAAGUCACUGACCGACAUGUUUGAACUGGAAAUGAACAUGUACUGAAAAUUAACACUGUUUACACAGCAAAGGUCAUCCAAGGAAGGUGAGACAAAAUCACACCAAAAACUAAAUACUGAAAUUAAAUAAAUAUUAUGUCUAACAAUAUUUCUUGAAUCUUUAUACCCUGACAGAGAUUUUGUAAUACUGAAUUUUCCUGUUAAUAACAACCUAU